AAUUACCCACUCCCGGCACGGGGAGGUAGUGACGAAAAAUAACGAUACGGGACUCAUCCGAGGCCCCGUAAUCGGAAUGAGUACACUUUAAAUCCUUUUCCAAGGAUCAAUUGGAGGGCAAGUCUGGUGCCAGCAGCCGCGGUAAUUCCAGCUCCAAUAGCGUAUAUUAAAGUUGUUGCGGUUAAAAAGCUCGUAGUCGAAUCUGUGUCUCGCGCCGCUGGUUCAUCGCUCGCGGUGUUUAACUGGCGUGUUCGCGAGACGUCCUGCCGGUGGGUUUUUCGAAUUGAUUGCUCUGGUGGUCGUUCGUAACCCUACUCGUAUUCGUUUCGGCGAGUGCGAAUCCUAUCGCGGUGCUCUUUAUCGAGUGUCGAGGUGGGCCGGCACGUUUACUUUGAACAAAUUAGAGUGCUUAAAGCAGGCCAAUUUUGCCUGAAUAUUGUGUGCAUGGAAUAAUGGAAUAGGACCUCGGUUCUAUUUUGUUGGUUUUCGGAACCCCGAGGUAAUGAUUAAUAGGAACGGAUGGGGGCAUUCGUAUUGCGACGUUAGAGGUGAAAUUCUUGGAUCGUCGCAAGACGGACAUAAGCGAAAGCAUUUGCCAAAAACGCUUUCAUUGAUCAAGAACGAAAGUUAGAGGUUCGAAGGCGAUCAGAUACCGCCCUAGUUCUAACCAUAAACGAUGCCAGCUAGCGAUCCGCCGACGUCCCUCCGAUGACUCGGCGGGCAGCUUCCGGAAAACCAAAGCUUUUGGGUUCCGGGGGAAGUAUGGUUGCAAAGCUGAAACUUAAAGGAAUUGACGGAAGGGCACCACCAGGAGUGGAGCCUGCGGCUUAAUUUGACUCAACACGGGAAAUCUCAUCAGGCCAGAACACCGGAAGGAUUGACAGAUUGAGAGCUCUUUCUUGAUUUGGUGGGUGGUGGUGCAUGGCCGUU
rnacentral:rRNA from 1 species